AGAUUGAACGCUGGCGGCAUGCCUUACACAUGCAAGUCGAACGGUAGAGUAGCAAUACUCGAGAGUGGCGAACGGGUGAGUAAUAUAUCGGAACGUGCCCAGUCGUGGGGGAUAACGUAGAGAAAUUUACGCUAAUACCGCAUACGAUCUACGGAUGAAAGCGGGGGAUUCGCAAGAACCUCGCGCGAUUGGAGCGGCUGAUAUCAGAUUAGGUUGUUGGUGAGGUAAAAGCUCACCAAGCCGACGAUCUGUAGCUGGUUUGAGAGAACGACCAGCCACACUGGGACUGAGACACGGCCCAGACUCCUACGGGAGGCAGCAGUGGGAAUUUUGGACAAUGGGACGAAAGCCUGAUCCAGCAAUGCCGCGUGACAGGAAGAAGGCCUUCGGUUGUAAACUGCUUUAGACGGAACGAAAAGUCUUUACUAAUAAGAAGGUACUUA
rnacentral:rRNA from 1 species